GACGUAGGGCGCGAGCGUUGUCCGGAUUUAUUGGGCGUAAAGAGCUCGUAGGCGGCUUGUCGCGUCGUCUGUGAAAUCCCGCGGCUCAACCGCGGGUCUGCAGUCGAUACGGGCAGGCUAGAGUUCGGUAGGGGAGACUGGAAUUCCUGGUGUAGCGGUGAAAUGCGCAGAUAUCAGGAGGAACACCGGUGGCGAAGGCGGGUCUCUGGGGCAACAACUGACGCUGAGGAGCGAAAGCGUGGGGAGCGAACAGG
rnacentral:rRNA from 1 species